rnacentral:lncRNA from 1 species
UGGGAACAUUUUGCCCCAGUGUGGGCAGGAGUUUAGGGUGGGCUGUGUUCCCUCAGGGCCCUGCCCUCCUCCGUUAGGAGAGCCUGCUGGGUAGACUAGCUGCGAGCCAGACUGUCUUUGGGGCGUCUGUAACCCCUCCGGAAGCCUGUGAGCUGGAGAGGAAUGUAAGACAUGGCCCUGCCUGUGAGGAGUCUAUAGUCCGCUGGAGAAGACUCCCAAGGAGAAGGAGAAACUGUACAUGGAACUGAAGCACAUCUUGGCACGGCAGCCUGGCCCCGAGGCUGCAGAACAGCUGCAGAUCUAUCGGCACACCCUGCGGGAGAAGACCAAGCAGCUGAAGGUUUUGUCUUCAGAAUUGAAUAUGUAUGAAUCACAGAGCCAAGAAUAUAAGUAUGAGAUCGAGAAACUUGGCAACGAACUGAUAAAUGUAAAGAAGAAAUACCUUGCUCAGAAACGUAAAGAGCUUAUUCAAAAGAACAAAGACAAACUACCCAUAGAUAACACCUUGAUCGCCAAACCUCCUGGCCCUCAUUUUAUUGGGGGUGGAUUUCCCCUCACCAAGACACCCAAGGCAUUUAGAAGGGACUGCUCAGUGACUUUUGGAGACUUUGGCCAAGAUUUUGCUGAGGAGUGGAGAUGGGAGGGGAACUCACCGAUCCCUGUGAGGCACUUGGAAAAUAUAAGCAGAUACUUAAGCCACAGCUGGGCAAGUUUUGUAGGUUUGGAAUUUCAGCUUUUUCCACGGGCCAGGCAUUGAGAUUCUGGGGAAUGGACUGGAUAAGACCGAACAGGACUCUGCUCCAGGGGGU